GACGUAGGGUGCAAGCGUUGUCCGGAUUUAUUGGGCGUAAAGAGCUCGUAGGCGGCUUGUUGCGUCGACUGUGAAAACCCGCGGCUUAACCGCGGGCUUGCAGUUGAUACGGGCAGGCUAGAGUUCGGUAGGGGAGACUGGAAUUCCUGGUGUAGCGGUGAAAUGCGUAGAUAUCAGGAGGAACACCGGUGGUGCAGACGGCUCUCUGGACCGUAACUGACGCUGAGACACGAAAGCGUGGGUAGCAAACAGG
rnacentral:rRNA from 1 species